CUUCCGGCCCCGGCGUGCUUGCAUUAAAUCAGUUAUCGUUUAUUUGAUAGUACCUUUACUUGGAUAACCGUGGUAAUUCUAGAGCUAAUACAUGCUAAAAACCCCGACUCCGGGAGGGGUGUAUUUAUUAGAUAAAAAACCAAUGCCCUCCGGGGCUCCUUGGUGAUUCAUGAUAACUCAACGAAUCGCAUGGCCUUGCGCCGGCGAUGGUUCAUUCAAAUUUCUGCCCUAUCAACUUUCGAUGGUAGGAUAGUGGCCUACCAUGGUCGUAACGGGUAACGGGGAAUUAGGGUUCGAUUCCGGAGAGGGAGCCUGAGAAACGGCUACCACAUCCAAGGAAGGCAGCAGGCGCGCAAAUUACCCAAUCCCGACGCGGGGAGGUAGUGACAAUAAAUACUGAUACGGGGCUCUUUCGGGUCUCGUAAUUGGAAUGAGUACAAUCUAAAUCCCUUAACGAGGAACAAUUGGAGGGCAAGUCUGGUGGAGGAGUCCCAGCUGGAGGGGCGGUCGUGUCACCGCCUCCGCUGUUGGCGCCAGACAGUCGUGGGGGCCCCGGGCUCCCACGCAGUGGGCCGUCGAGACCCGCGAGGUGUCCGGUUACGGGGAAGCCCAGUCGCCGUCAGGGCGCUGGAAAUCCCGAGUGUCAGGCCCUGACCCCCUGGGGUCUCGGGCUGGCUCGUAACGCAUGGAAGGACAUCGCCAGGUGUGUGCCGUCGGCGCGCCUGUUGAGGUACAUGCUGAUCCUACCCGCGAGGGGUUGUCCGCCGUGGGGGUCCCGUUCACACGUCGGCGGCACGGAGGGCCGACGGGGGACCCAACGCGGGCGUGAGGAAGACGGGUGCGUCCUGACGAGGUCGUGCGCGCCGUCGAUCUGUGGCCAGCAGCCGCGGUAAUUCCAGCUCCAAUAGCGUAUAUUAAAGUUGUUGCGGUUAAAAAGCUCGUAGUUGAACCUUGGGCCUGGCUGAUCUGUCCUCCUCACCGAGCGCACGGAUUCGGUCGGGCCUUUCCUUCUGGGGAGCCCCAUGCCCUUCGUUGGGCGUGGCGGGGAACCAGGAC
rnacentral:rRNA from 1 species